AUGGUGCAAACCGUGAAUGAAUUGAUAGACCCACUGAGCUGGACAUGGCGGACGGAGCAGGUUCGGAAGAUCUUCAUCGCGCCGGACGCCGCAGCCAUUCUGAACAGUCCGUUGCGGCACGGCGGGGGCGAAGACUUCUAUGCAUGGGCCUUUGAGAAGUCAGGCAUUUACUCUGUUAAAUCGGCGUAUCGUGCUCUCGUGAACCAAAAAGAGCGACAGGCUCUAGAUGAGGGGCAGGUUACCGGCACUUCAGUGGAUCAACAACAUGUGUGGAAUGCCAUAUGGAAACUCAAAGUAGUCCCAAAAGUCAAGGUGUUU
rnacentral:rRNA from 1 species